AUUGAACGCUGGCGGCAGGCUUAACACAUGCAAGUCGAGCGGGGUGCUGGUGCUUGCACUAUCACUUAGCGGCGGCCGGGUGAGUAAUGCUUAGGAAUCUGCCUAUUAGUGGGGGACAACAUCGCGAAAGGGAUGCUACUACCGCAUACGUCCUACGGGAGAAAGCAGGGGAUCACUUGUGACCUUGCGCUAAUAGAUGAGCCUAAGUCGGAUUAGCUAGUUGGUGGGGUAAAGGCCUACCAAGGCGACGAUCUGUAGCGGGUCUGAGAGGAUGAUCCGCCACACUGGGACUGAGACACGGCCCAGACUCCUACGGGAGGCAGCAGUGGGGAAUAUUGGACAAUGGGGGGAACCCUGAUCCAGCCAUGCCGCGUGUGUAAAGAAGGCCUUAUGGUUGUAAAGCACUUUAAGCGAGGAGGAGGCUCUUUUGGUUAAUACCCAAGAUGAGUGGACGUUACUCGCAGAAUAAGCACCGGCUAACUCUGUGCCAGCAGCCGCCGUAA
rnacentral:rRNA from 1 species